rnacentral:lncRNA from 1 species
CAGGAUACUAAUUAUCUGUAGACAGUGCUAACUACACAAAUAGCUGCACAGUUGUGUUGGUUUUAUAUAUAACAUAUUUUUUCUUUUAAGUACAGAUAUUUUAAGAACUUUGUAAACAACACAAAAUCAAGAGAUGGAAGUUGACAAAAGCCUUCAUUACAUGUUGCUUGUAUAUUCCUUAUGCAUUGUUACUAGGGUAUGGAUGCAGCUUUAAUCUUACUGAUUUAUUAUCGAUUUUUGUUAAUAGUGAAGUUUGUUGAUACAAUGUGACAGACUGCUUGUAUCAGCUAUUUCAAUUAAAUCUCUAAAUGACUGAUUGUAUAGACUGUCAACUUCUGUCUUUUCAAAUUAACUUUCACAUCUGAAGUCUUGAGUGUUCAUCUGCAUCAAGUAACUUUGGCCCAGACUUUUCCUAGCCCCAGUGAAAGAGGAAGACAUGCUUACAGCUUCCCUCUACAGGCAGCGAGGAAAGGGCAAGGAGCCAAUAGAACAUUACGUUUGGGACUGAGAAUCCCACAAAGAUGAAUAUUUUUUCCUAAUGUUCCAAAAGAAGUAGUCCUCGGUGGAGAAGCUGAUCUUUACUGAUAUUCUGCAUAACUAAGAAGAG